rnacentral:rRNA from 1 species
AGUGAACGCUGGCGGUAGGCCUAACACAUGCAAGUCGAACGGCAGCACAGUAAGAGCUUGCUCUUACGGGUGGCGAGUGGCGGACGGGUGAGGAAUACAUCGGAAUCUACUUUUUCGUGGGGGAUAACGUAGGGAAACUUACGCUAAUACCGCAUACGACCUACGGGUGAAAGCAGGGGAUCUUCGGACCUUGCGCGAUUGAAUGAGCCGAUGUCGGAUUAGCUAGUUGGCGGGGUAAAGGCCCACCAAGGCGACGAUCCGUAGCUGGUCUGAGAGGAUGAUCAGCCACACUGGAACUGAGACACGGUCCAGACGCCUACGGGAGGCAGCAGUGGGGAAUAUUGGACAAGGGGCGCAAGCCUGAUCCAGCCAUACCGCGUGGGUGAAGAAGGCCUUCGGGUUGUAAAGCCCUUUUGUUGGGAAAGAAAAGCAGCAGGUUAAUACCCCGCUGUUCUGACGGUACCCAAAGAAUAAGCACCGGCGAACUUCGU